rnacentral:pre_miRNA from 1 species
ACAACAUUCGGACCGUCGGUCUACCGAGCAAUAUCACCCGUUCGGUGGAAGAUUUUCCUUUUGUCGU